rnacentral:rRNA from 1 species
UACAGAGGGCUCAAGCGUUGUUCGGAUUCAUUGGGCGUAAAGGGUGCGUAGGCGGCGCGGUAAGUCGGGUGUGAAAUUUCGAGGCUUAACUUCGAAACUGCAUUCGAUACUGCCGUGCUCGAGGACUGGAGAGGAGACUGGAAUUUACGGUGUAGCGGUGAAAUGCGUAGAUAUCGUAAGGAAGACCAGUGGCGAAGGCGGGUCUCUGGACAGUUCCUGACGCUGAGGUGCGAAAGCGUGGGGAGCAAACAGG